rnacentral:lncRNA from 1 species
UGAGGACUAAUCCCAUAUGUCUUUCUCAUCAUAUGUCGCAUAUCAACUUAUGAUCUAUUUCCAUAUUUACAAAUUGUAGAGCCUUUGUGCUUUUUAGUUUGCGUUAUAACUAAUGAAGACACACAUUUCAUCUUUGUCAUCUAAUUUCUUUAGUUGAUCUAGAACGUGUGUAUAUGCUAUGCAACCAAAAGCUGAGUAAUUCUCCCUGCACCUCCUGGAUCUCGUCCUGCACCUCCUCCCUCACUUUUAAUUCCAACUGUGCCCCUAUCAGCCUAUGGUCUUGGGUUUAUAAAAAGUAACUCUGCCGCAAUUCAAAAAAACCCUACACCCCCUAUUUUCAUCUUCCCUGACCAGUCUUCCUCCCCUUCCCUCCCCUCCAACCAGUGCAUCCCCUCCUUCUUUUUCCAGUGCAUCCUCCGUGCUCGUAACUUGGUGUUAUCGCGUGGGCUGUCAGCGUAGCAGGUAGCUCGAGGUAGCUGGGUAGC